ensembl:lncRNA lymphocyte antigen 6 family member E
AUGGUGCCCAGGGUACCCCGGCCCUGCCCAGAGGACUGGGCCGCUCUUACAGGGUCCCUCUUCCCACCCUGCCCCAUCCUGACCACCCUGCCAUCCUGCCUCAGCCCCUCCCUCUUGCCAUCUCUCUCCGCGGAUGUAUGGUUAAGAAGACACUUCUCCUGUGCCCUACCCCCACCCCCCAACCCCGUCACCACAAACGUCACCCAGAAAGGGUGCAAGGAAAAAAAAAAAAAAACAAAACAGCUCCAACAGGAAAUGUGCUGCGAAAGUAAGAAGUAUGACUCCUGGGGAGGCUCCACCUGGCAGCCCCAGUGCAGGCAGGCAGGCGGUUCGGGUCUCCAUCCCCACCAGGGACAAGCAGGAGCAGGGCGGGGGCAACGGCAGAAGCUGGCCUGGCUCACAGGCCCGGGAGGCGUCAGGCCAGGCCAGAGCCGCACACCGGGGAUGCUCCAUGAACGGUUGUUGAAGGAAAGGCAGUUAAUGGCACCGGAGACAGAACACCAGAAAGCCAGUGACGCCAAACCCAGGAGAGCCCGCUUCACUAAGGAUGGCCGGGGGCCUCUGGGCUCCGCUGGGAGGGUCAGGUUUGGCUGGCUUUGGGACCCAACCCACCCCAGCCGGCUGCAGCGGAGCACCCAGGAGGCUCAUGAGUCCUCCCGGGCGGAGGGUUUAGACGCCGGUGCGGCCGGGAUCUCCAGCCGGUCCGCACUGUGGUGCACAACCACCGCCCCGAAACCCCCUCCUCCACCCCUGGAUCCUCAUCCUGUCACCUCCCCCCACCAUGGGACGGCUGACGGCCGGCGCGGGGAAGGCCUCCUAUCAGCCUCCUGGCCGCCCGCACCCGACUCUGAAAAAGGGGUUCUGGGCACCGCCGCCUCGGCCUCCUUGGCCGCCUCCCCUCCCCCGUGUUCCACCGGAAAAGUGUCGGGCCACCUGUGGGCCUCCCCCACCCCUGCCCGGGCUGCCGGGAGUGCGCGCAACGCCCCCGCCCCCUCCCGGGGGGACCAGACUGAACCGCGGCGGCUGGCGCUGCGCUGGGGAGCGGGGCCGGCGGGCGGGGCCUGGGCCGCAAGCCGCGCCUCUCGCGCUCGAGCGCCGCCUCUCCGGCCGGGACUGAGGGCUGCUGCGGGCUCCCGCUCCUGGGCAGUUUGGGCUGCGCCGCCAGGCCGGGGACCUGCGUCCGCUGGCGGACCAACAGCUCGGACCCCAUUGGGAGAAGCAAGGCCCGCCCCCCAGCACGCCAUCUCAUUGGAACAAGGCUGACUGCAGCUUCCUGAGAGCCCAGCCAGACGCCUGUCCCUCCAGAAUGAAGGUCUUUCUGCCGUUGCUGCUGGCUGCCCUCCUGGGCGUGGAGCGAGCCCACUCCCUGGUGUGCUUCACCUGCCAGAAUGUGCAAAGCAACUGGUAUUGCCUGAAGCCGACCAUCUGCUCCAACACUGACAGUUACUGUGUGACGGUCUCUGCAUCCGCUGGCCUCAAGAACGUGGUGGACUUGGGCUACUCCCUGUACAAGUUCUGCUCCCCGAUCUGCGGCUCCACAAGCCUCAACUUCGGCGUGGCGUCCAUGGAUACGUCCUGCUGCCAGAGCUUCCUGUGCAACAUCAGCGCGGCGGGCCGCGGGCCUCGGGCCAGCACCCUGGUGCUGGGCCUGGGGCUCCUGCUCAGCCUGCUGGUGGCUCUGCUGCGGUUUGGACCCUGACUGCCCAGCCCCGGCUCCCAAAACUCAGGAAGGAAGGAAAGCCCAGACCCAAGAGGAUCUCAAAGCCGCCGCCUCUGACUCCUCACCCUGCUAGUCCCACCUUCUCAGCCCUGGGUCCCCACAGGCAGGCCUGGCCCCCUGUACCCACACCUGUCAGCUCCCCCUACCUCCAGGUCAGCCUUGCCACGGGGACCUGGGAACGGAGCCUGAGGAUUCGGGAGUCAGAACCGAGUCCCAGGGACAUGCUGAGAGGGGGCUCCUAAUCCCAGGCCCUCCCUGCCCCCAAGUGCAGAAGAUGUGCCGUGUAGACAGGUGUGUGGUCCAUGUGCCCAGCUGGGCGUGUGUGAGUGUGUUUGGGGGAGGGGUGGGGGUCAGAAGCGUGUCUGGAGCCCCAAGCACCAGCACAGAGCCCCAGUCCCUGGUAUCUCUGCACAUGUCCUUGUAUUUCACUCACUUAGAGGGUGGCCUUUGGGGAGACGGCUUCCCCUGUUCCCAGGUCUAGGCUACUGACCCAGGAAUCUGUUCCUGCCCCAGAUCCCACAGCUGCCCACCCCCUCCCUCCACCCCACACUCCUGCUGCUUCGCUGCCUCAAAUAAACAUGUUUCCACCUUUUCUG